GACGAACCGUGCGAACGUUGUUCGGAAUCACUGGGCUUAAAGGGCGCGUAGGCGGGCUGCCAAGUCUGGGGUGAAAUCCCACGGCUCAACCGUGGAACUGCCUCGGAUACUGGCGGUCUCGAGGGAGGUAGGGGCGUGCGGAACUGUGGGUGGAGCGGUGAAAUGCGUUGAUAUCCACAGGAACUCCGGUGGCGAAAGCGGCGCGCUGGACCUCUUCUGACGCUGAGGCGCGAAAGCUAGGGGGAGCAAACGGG
rnacentral:rRNA from 1 species